GACUGAGAAAUCAUCUCCAGGAACUAGAUCAGGGGUUGCCAGUCUUUGGGGCCAACUUGAAAUUUUUUAAGAAAGUGCAGAGGGUGUGUGGCAUAACACAAAAUGGCUGCCAUGAGGAUGUGGCAGAACACAAAGAGGCUUCCAUGGGGUCAUGGCAUGCCACAAAAUGGAUGCUGUAGGUUGUGGCGUAACACAAAAUGGCUGCCACGGGAGCCUGGCGUAGCACAAAUUUGCUGCCUUAUCUAAAAGAGCAGAAGAAAGAAAACAGGACCACAAAAUGGUGCAUACAUACCCCCCCCCCACAGCUGCCCUAUCAGUUGGGGGAACAGUUUUUGAAGAAUGACAACUUCCCAGAUGUGCAAUUGUACAGCCUUCCUGGUACCACGGAACUUAAAAAUAAUAAGAAGAAAAAAGUUAUGCUUCUUAUUGUUUUGCUCCAUCUUUCCUGGCCUAUCUUAAUCACACCCUACCGAUUUAUUCACUUCUACCAGACUCUGCCGUAUCCCACCCUGCUGCAAAUUAUUUGGCAACCAUUAAAUGUUACCUGCUUGUUUUAGUGACCCUCCAGAUAUCCCUUUUAUUGUGCAUUCAUUAUGAUUUGUGCUCCUUAUGUUAUCAGGACAGCCAUAUGUGAUCCUUCUUUCACUACUGCUGGCACCUGCAAAAGUUUUGGGGUGGCCACACUGCUUCCCUUCUAAUCAGUCUGUAUCGCAGAUCUUCCUGAUGGAAUAUCACAACUUUUUAUACUGCAAAUGAUAUGGAUUAUUUUUAUUCUACUUUUGUUAUGCUAAGAGCCCUUCCGGACAGUAAUAAUGUGGUAGCAUUGCAAAACAAACUAAAGCAGAAUAAAUCCACCAUUGGUGCACUCUUACCGUGUCAAGAACACGUUGCAGAAUAUGCUUGUUUUAAAACACCAAUCAAAAGGGCCACUAAUUCAUUUCACAUUUGAUUUACAUAUUGAUGAAGCAGUCACACUGAACCAUCUGAAAGUGGGCAUUGGCCAGCAUUCAGACAUAGAGUGGGUUAAUUAAAAUUAAAAAUGUGAAUCUACAAUAUAUAAUAAUUAUUUUAGGGGUUUUUUUGUUUUUUAAAAACUGUUUUCCAGUUACUUGGUUUUUACAUCUAAGCAUGUAUAUGGGAAGCAGUACGACAGCGUGUCAUAGAUUACAGGUCAAAGUUUUAAAACUACCAAAGUAUUUGGUUUUUACAAGACUAGCAGAGCUAUCCUAUAUGGAAUUGGGGAUGAAAGGAGCAGCAGAUUCACCCCCACAUCCCAAGUCUUGCUGACUAACACUGAGCAGGGCAGGGGGAGAUGUUUCCCCCUCCUAAAUUUUUAUUGCACCAGCUCCAAGCUGGCAUACCUGAUGAGCUGAGGAUCAAGUCUUGUGUUGGUGGAUUUGCAUCCAGUAUCAGUGAUCAUGUUCUGCACUCUUUUGAAUGCCACAUUGAGUCUAGUAACAUAACUGGCAACAGCUGCUGGGCAGAGGCCUUUUCCCACCCUGAUACCUCAGGUCCUUUUAACCAGAGAUGCUGAGGACCAAAUUUGGGACCCCCUGCAGGCAAAGAAGAUGCUCCACCACUAAGCCAGGGAUGCAGCCAAGAGGUGGAAAACUCACUAUUCACAAGGAAUAUAGCGUCCUGAUUAGGCCUAUAAUGUCCAGUGCCAAUAGGGAUCAUGAUUAUCCAUAAUGCUUCUUCAAUGCAUAAAUCUAUGUUCUGUAUUAUUUGCUUUUCUAUUAUCCAGUCUUAAGGGCUUAGUUAAAAAAAAACCUAUAAUACCAGCUUCCCUGCUACACCUAAGGGUCGCACUGAGAAAGUUAUAAAACCUAUGAAAAUUCACUGAUAAAAAUCCUUCCUUUUCUGCAAAUUAAAAAUCUGUGAGAUUUUCUUUUUCACUUUGAGCAUGGGAAAUCCAAAGAAUGUCUCUCUCUGAGAUCCCCAAGCAACUAUGGUAGAAGAAAGGUUAACAAGACUGUAUUGCCCAAAGUGAAAAAAUACUGAAAAGGUCUUGUGCUAAUGCCCCCUUCCCCCCAAAAAAAGAAAAACCUCCCACUGCUACUAGGAUAUUGUGACAGCUUUCCUGUUGAGGGUGUAAUGCUAUAAGCUGUCAACAAUACCUGUCUUACCUACCAAACUGUCAUCACCUGCCAUUUAGCACACUGUGCUACAAUUGUUUCUUCACAACGCUGAAAAUUACUGUCUGCGAGAAGGAAAACAGUGAAGUGACUUUGAGCUGCAGAAAUGCGAAGUAGUUUGCUUGCCCCUUUAAGACUUGGUUUGUUCAUUCCACUAGGAUGAAGUGCCCACGUCUGCAUUUGCAUGAACAGUGUAAUUCUGAGCAGAGACCUGGCAGAAGUUACUCAGAGCAACUUCUGUGAACUGCAGUGAUAAAAACAAUGCAUCUAAGACGGGUCCAUACAGAGGACUUCACCAUUAUUUUCCCUUAAAGCAUUAGCCAGGAGAAGGAAACUGCGAUGGAACAUGAUAGCCCAGAGAAUGUAUGACCUUUAAAGAUCUGAGCUCAAUUUAUGCAUUUGCUGCAUGUCACCUUCUGCCAAGUUACACUUUCCCACCCCUAAACCAGGAAUUUGAAUGAAAAUGAAUAAGGUAAAUGUUUUCAAAGCACCUGAUACAUUUAAAAGUGAAUUUUUGUGUUAAGAACUUUAAAUACUCAGGGCGAAACAAGGAUGCUGUGGUUUUAUGAGUAAUUCAAUCAUUGCAGAUUAUUUACGGAGAAUCUGUGUUAAAUGAAAACUGGCAUAAACAGUGUCCAGUGUUGUUUUGCAGAGAUCAUGCACAAUGAAGACAUCUGCUGAUUUCAUGCAAGGCAAGGCAAUGUACGUGUGAGUUAAAAACAGUGCUUUUAUUAGCUGCCUUCAAACGUUACCUGAUUCGAGAUGUGGUGUUUACAAGCACCAAAAUAUUCUAUUCAGAAUCUGGACAGUUAAUCAGCUAAAAGCAACUCGUUGUCAACAUGCUGUUGCUGAGCCCAAAGAACAAUGCUCCAUUGUUCCAGCUCAUGUGCAUUUACAACUCUUAUAACAGUUAUAAAGCCUCUAACAAGAGAAAAGGAAAGCAGGUUGGCCUGUGUCAUUUUCACCUUUUAGCCACUGCAAUAAAACAAUUUGCCAGUAAAAGA